UACGUAGGGUGCGAGCGUUAAUCGGAAUUACUGGGCGUAAAGUGUGCGCAGGCGGCUUCGCAAGUCGAGUGUGAAAUCCCCGAGCUUAACUUGGGAAUUGCGCUCGAAACUACGGAGCUGGAGUGUGGCAGAGGAAGGUGGAAUUCCACGUGUAGCGGUGAAAUGCGUAGAGAUGUGGAGGAACACCGACGGCGCAGGCAGCGCCCUGGUCACUUGCUGACACUGAGGCACGAAAGCUGGGGGAGCGAACAGG
rnacentral:rRNA from 1 species